CCUACGGGAGGCUGCAGUGGGGAAUCUUGCACAAUGGGGGAAACCCUGAUGCAGCGACGCCGCGUGAGCGAUGAAGCCCUUCGGGGUGUAAAGCUCUUUCGACGGGAACGAUAAUGACGGUACCCGGAGAAGAAGCUGCGGCUAACUACGUGCCAGCAGCCGCGGUAAUACGUAGGCAGCAAGCGUUGUUCGGAAUUACUGGGCGUAAAGAGUAUGUAGGCGGUUCGCCAAGUUUGGUGUGAAAUCUCCCGGCUUAACUGGGAGGGUGCGCCGAAAACUGGCGGGCUUGAGGGUGGGAGAGGUAAGCGGAAUUUCUGGUGUAGCGGUGAAAUGCGUAGAUAUCAGAAGGAACACCUGUGGUGUAGACAGCUUACUGGACCAUUUCUGACGCUGAGAUACGAAAGCGUGGGUAGCAAACAGGAUUAGAUACCCCGGUAGUC
rnacentral:rRNA from 1 species